GGAUGAGACAAGACAAUGACAAAGAACAACUUUCAUAAUGAUGUGUAAUUCACAAGAUCAUUAUGUAAUUGCUUGGCAAGCAAAAAUGGUUAAUCGCCGAUCAGAGCUGUGGGGCCUAGUCCGCUCUGAAUCGACUAACAUACCUUGUACAAAUGGAACAUAUAUUUUUUUUAAUUACAGGGGGAAAAAAAUAAAUGAAAGAGAUCACAUUUCUUUCGG